rnacentral:lncRNA from 1 species
AUAACAAAAUUAAAUCUAAAAACAUUGUAAGCAUUGAGAUUGAACUGAGCAACCAUAUGUAGUAGGCUAUUAGAAAGCUGCCAGAACAAUUCAUAAAAGUAGAGGAUUAAACAUCCCGAGAGCAAAUAAUGGUUGCAAUGCUAGUACAACAGUUUUGAAACCGUCAUAACAAAAGUAAGCCAGAUGAAAUAAAAAGAAAAGAUCUGCAUGUGGCUAGUUAAGGAGACUGAUGUUGGCAAAGCAGAACCGACAAUUGAACUCCAUGAAGAACAGCAAAAAGAGCAUGGGAUUUUGACGGAGCUGCUCAAAAGUGUGGACACAUGGUCCGGUGCCCACGUUUCCUAUUGCAAGGAAAAGGUGUUUAGCUUUCAUCUAAAAGAUAGUAAGUAUUUCCAAGCCAACUCUUAGAGAAAGGAAGGUAAUGUGCAGAAGAAGAAUUAGAGCAAUUAACUGUAAUGUUAAAACUUAAUAGCCUAUAUUGUGUGACUCGUCAUUCUAUGACGAUACAGGAUACUUGUAAACACAGGAGAGGAAAAGGUAGUUGCAAAUGUCUGCAGGAAUUCUAGUAUGCCAAAGAGGAAAUUCUUCUGCUGCCAUCUAAAGAUGGCUUCUCUAGCAGUCCGGAUGCCAAGACCACCCUUAUAAUUUCCCCUGGCAUCUCCUUUACUAAACACAUAGAUCAAAGAAGCAACAUGCUAAUUUGUUAAAAUACCCACAAAUCCUCCUAGCCAGCCAUGCUCAUACUUCAUAGUAUAGAGCGGAAUUGAUGGCAGCAGCAGUGGAGUGAAUUGAAGUAUUCCAGGCACCUAAUUUACUGUGAGCUGCAAAACGACAAGGACAAUUGGAGGGUGAUGUGGGAAUGAAGACUUGAAUGCACUUUAUUUUAAGAAGAAACUCAAUUUUGAUAGAUUGGGAUCCUCAUAGAGGAAUAUAAUUGUCAAGUUUAUUGAAUUUAAAUUUAAUUCCAAUUAAACAUUAGAACACAACUGUUUAUCUCGUGUGUUUGGUUUUCAUCUUCUCAUCCUAUUCCCCGAGUUCCCUGCAUUACUCUAGGGUCCUUUAACUAAUGUUAACAAACAUUAAAUGACACCCUCCUUCCCUUAAGUAAAGAGUAGAUCAAUGAAAAAGGAAAAGAAACUAACCUGGAUUAAAUGACGCAGCAGGACCAGUGCAGAAAAAGGCAGGGGCACCAACCAAGUUAAGGUCAAAAUAAAGUUACGGGCUGACCACUUGAUAGGAAGCUUUCUUGACGUAAGCUUAAAAAAAUAUAAGAACCAAAUCGAAAUGAGAAAGGACAGACACAAACCUGGAAGAAAAGGUGUUGCAGGUAACAGCGGACGAAGUUUCAGCAGACCUAACUAAAGAGCUGAUGCUAUCUAGCUUUUGAUGAAAGGGUGUCAGCACACUCUUUUUUUCACAAGCUGUGAACUAAGAAAGCAGCAAAAUCCUUAAAAGAAAAGCGAAGAAACUAAUCUGUAGAGACAGAUUCUAAAGAAACAGAACAGCAGAAGGCCAAAAAAAAAGAAGAAGAAAUUGCUGCAGCUAAAAAAUGCAGCAAGCAAUGAAGAAUGACACAACCUGAUAAUGAACAGCACAUGAGCAAACAUAGAACAAAAGUAGGUAAGUGACCGCUAUCGGAAUGCAACCAUCCUCAACAACAACAACAAAAAAGAUGGACCCAGGCAAAGUCGAUAUCGACACCAUUUGAGAAAAACAUUUAGCUAUACGAAAAUGAAUGCAGUGAAGGAAAACCAUAGCUGCUUAAGAACCAGCUGAAGGGUCAUAUAACCCUGACAAAGGCUAUUCGAUCGUGCCUAGUCGAAGGCAAUCAAAUACACACAACAUUCCUAAACAUGCACAUCAUAGAACCACUGAUCAAAAAUAGGAGGAAGCUCAGACAUGCUCUUAAACCUAAUUAAAAAGUGCUUCCCAAAAAAAAAAAAGAAACCAGCAGGGUCUCUGAAAAGAAACAAAACUACGAAUCAUAGAGAAUAAUCCCAAAUCACGAACUGGAGCAACAUCACGCAACCUAAGCCAUGGAACAUCAGGUGGUUGCGCCAGCAAAAGGUCGUCAAAAGAGCCGAAAUCCUGAGAAAGAAAGCAGAAAAUAACACCACUGAGCUAAAUUCAACUCUAAAUAAAUGAAUAAAUUCGGAUGACAAUGGGUGAGAAAAAACAAUGGAAACCUGGAAGAUAAUAAAAAAACCAACGACGGUAAAUUGAAUUCCAAUUGAGCUACACCACCGAGCAGAAGAGAGAAAGUACGAAUGCAAAACCAUGUAAAGAAAAGAGAUAGAUUAGCAUAGCGAAUCCUCUACAGGUCUCCCAAUCAGACUCAAAUCAAGCAGAAAAUUAUA